rnacentral:rRNA from 1 species
GACGAACGCUGGCGGCGUGCCUAAUACAUGCAAGUUGAGCGAUGAAGAUUGGUGCUUGCACCAAUUUGAAGAGCAGCGAACGGGUGAGUAACGCGUGGGGAAUCUGCCUUUGAGCGGGGGACAACAUUUGGAAACGAAUGCUAAUACCGCAUAACAACUUUAAACAUAAGUUUUAAGUUUGAAAGAUGCAAUUGCAUCACUCAAAGAUGAUCCCGCGUUGUAUUAGUUAGUUGGUGAGGUAAAGGCUCACCAAGGCGAUGAUACAUAGCCGACCUGAGAGGGUAAUCGGCCACAUUGGGACUGAGACACGGCCCCAACUCCUACGGGAGGCAGCAGUAGGGAAUCUUCGGCAAUGGACGAAAGUCUGACCGAGCAACGCCGCGUGAGUGAAGAAGGUUUUCGGAUCGUAAAACUCUGUUGGUAGAGAAGAACGUUGGUGAGAGUGGAAAGCUCAUCAAGUGACGGUAACUACCCAGAAAGGGACGGCUAACUACGUG